GGAUCCAGACUUUGAUUAUGGCUCAGGAUGAACGCUAGCUACAGGCUUAACACAUGCAAGUCGAGGGGCAGCGGGAUUGAAGCUUGCUUCAAUUGCCGGCGACCGGCGCACGGGUGAGUAACGCGUAUCCAACCUUCCGUACACUCAGGGAUAGCCUUUCGAAAGAAAGAUUAAUACCUGAUAGUAUCUUAAGCACACAUGUAAUUAAGAUUAAAGAUUUAUCGGUGUACGAUGGGGAUGCGUUCCAUUAGGUAGUAGGCGGGGUAACGGCCCACCUAGCCAACGAUGGAUAGGGGUUCUGAGAGGAAGGUCCCCCACAUUGGAACUGAGACACGGUCCAAACUCCUACGGGAGGCAGCAGUGAGGAAUAUUGGUCAAUGGACGAGAGUCUGAACCAGCCAAGUAGCGUGAAGGAUGAGGGUCCUACGGAUUGUAAACUUCUUUUAUAAGGGAAUAAACCCUCCCACGUGUGGGAGCUUGUAUGUACCUUAUGAAUAAGCAUCGGCUAACUCCGUGCCAGCAGCCGCGGUAAUACGGAGGAUGCGAGCGUUAUCCGGAUUUAUUGGGUUUAAAGGGAGCGCAGACGGGUCGUUAAGUCAGCUGUGAAAGUUUGGGGCUCAACCUUAAAAUUGCAGUUGAUACUGGCGUCCUUGAGUGCGGUUGAGGUGUGCGGAAUUCGUGGUGUAGCGGUGAAAUGCUUAGAUAUCACGAAGAACUCCGAUUGCGAAGGCAGCACACUAAUCCGUAACUGACGUUCAUGCUCGAAAGUGUGGGUAUCAAACAGGAUUAGAUACCCUGGUAGUCCACACGGUAAACGAUGGAUACUCGCUGUUGGCGAUAUACUGUCAGCGGCUUAGGGAAAGCGUUAAGUAUCCCACCUGGGGAGUACGCCGUCA
rnacentral:rRNA from 1 species